rnacentral:misc_RNA from 1 species
GGGGAAGGGUAGCAAAACUGAUCUUCAACUUGGAUUCCGGAAACCAGCUGUUAUUAUGAUAGUUGGUGUUAACGGAGGUGGAAAGACAACAUCUCUUGGAAAGCUGGCUUUUAGAUUGAAAAACGAAGGGGCCAAAAUAUUAAUGGCAGCUGGUGAUACAUUUAGAGCAGCUGCUAGUGAUCAGUUGGAAAUCUGGGCAGAUAGAACCGGAUGUGAGAUUGUUGUUGCUGAA